rnacentral:tRNA from 1 species
GGGCCCAUAGCUCAGUUGGUAGAGCGCCUCCAUGGCAUGGAGGAGGUCAACGGUUCAAGUCCGUUUGGGUCCACCA